rnacentral:misc_RNA from 1 species
CCUGCAUUGCCUUCAACUUGGCUUCCUUCUCUGCUCUUUUUGUACCCCACUCUUCCCUCAACUUUGCAUCUCUUUUCUGCAUGUAUUUCUCAUAGAACUUUCCUCUAGAAUCAUCUGAAAAACUCAUCUCAGAGAAAUUCUGUCUAAAAGACCCGCCACAGUCCUGAUCUACUAUCUUCAUUGGUGGAGUACUAAAAUUGGCAUUAUCACUAGCACUCACAAUAGGUUCAGCCUCUGUCUUCUUGUCCUGAACCUGUGCAGGAGAUAUUUCCAAUGCUGUCAGUUUUUUGUACUGUGAAUUUAUUGCCUGUUCAACCUGCAACUCAGCAGGCUUGCUUUUCCUUGUAGAACCAGAUUGAUCUCCAGGAACCCGAAGCUUGUGCUCUGCAAAAAGCUUUUCCAGCUCAUAUGCCUUCAUUUUCAGCUCAUCAUUGAGCUCCUGAUUCCCCUUAGAUUGCCUUACCCUCUGAACUUGCUCUACUGAUGGUGCUGCCACGGUACUAAAGCUCUGCUGAAUCUCAGAAACAUUUUUAUUAGGAAAGACUGGCUUGUUAUUUCCAUAAGUANAAAACUGGCUUGUUACUUCCAUAAGUAGAGCCAGUCUCAUCUCUUCUGCCUUUCAGCUUCAUAGUCUGUUCUGGACCUGCAGAAAAAGGUUUCUGGACCUUCAUUCGUGGAACUUCAAGAUCUUCCACCUUUGUUAGUUCCUCC